GUUGCACUAUUCAGUUCUGAUUGUUGUGGCAAAAUAAAUUCUACACACUUUUAAAGGUUGUCCCUACACAGAAUCAGAAUUACUGCAGCACGAGCAGAGGGUUGAGCGAUGUCGUUCGUCAAAGGAUCCACUUAUUGGCCGGAGCAUCUCCUUGAAAAUCUGCGGCCGGAUGUUUAGAACGAAAACUUUGCCUGAAGGUGCAAAAAUCUGAAAUGAACCCUUAACUUUGCCCACUUUUUCUGUUCGUUGAAUUUGGUUUUAGAAGAUGGUCCGAGUCUUCAAUUAAACAGGUGACAUCUUCAGUUUCCCUAAAUAUUAACUUGGCUUUUGAAUUCUAAAUAAAAAGAUAAGAAAUUAAAGUAAAAACACUAGAAAUGCCAAAAAAUAAACCAUAGUCUAGUCCAAAUGAAAUAAAAACAAAAACAAGUUUAGUUUGAUGAAUUUUUUUUUCACGUUGACCCAAACUACAAACAAAAAUAGAUUUGGGGAGGGGAAGUUUAUUGUGAAAUCAUCCUCUCGGUAGUUUUUUGUAAUUUUUUUGGGGAGGAGUUUCUCUCUAUCAUCUAAAGAGAUACACCUGGUUAUGUUUCCUCCUUCACUCUCACAACAGAUGACAUGGUAUCACUCAACAGUUGGCAUAGAUUCGACAUGAAUUGCGCGUCUGACGAGAGCAGAGAGUGUGGAAGGAGGACAGUUCAUCAGCGACGGAACGAACUAACACGGAUUCGAAAGACGCCACAAGAACAUAAAGAAAAAAAAAUAAAUCAAUCAAGACAAGAACACGUGCGGGGGAGACGGCGGCGCGCGUUAGCGGGCUUCAUAAUUUUUGAAAAACUCGUUAAAAAAAAUCCAACAAUAAAAAAAAAAGGUGGCAGCAAAUUUUUCAAAUUUUUGUAAAGAGAAAUUAAUUUUGAAUUUAAAUGAAUUUAAAGCACCGCGUAACGUGCGCCAGAAUUCCGGCGCCCAAAAAAAAACGGGGGAGACAAAAACGGGACAGAAUGGAAAAGAAAGAAAAA